UACGGGGGGGGCAAGCGUUGUUCGGAAUUACUGGGCGUAAAGGGCUCGUAGGCGGCCAACUAAGUCGGACGUGAAAUCCCUCGGCUUAACCGGGGAACUGCGUCCGAUACUGGAUGGCUUGAGUUUGGGAGAGGGAUGCGGAAUUCCAGGUGUAGCGGUGAAAUGCGUAGAUAUCUGGAGGAACACCGGUGGCGAAGGCGGCAUCCUGGACCAUCACUGACGCUGAUGAGCGAAAGCCAGGGGAGCAAACGGG
rnacentral:rRNA from 1 species